rnacentral:rRNA from 1 species
UACAGAGGGUGCAAGCGUUGUUCGGAAUUAUUGGGCGUAAAGGGAGUGUAGGCUGUGAGGUAAGUCUUCUGUGAAAUCUACGGGCUUAGCCUGUAAAGUGCAGAGGAAACUGCUUCGCUUGAGUGUCGGAGAGGAUAGGGGAAUACCCGGUGUAGAGGUGAAAUUCGUAGAGAUCGGGUGGAACACCAGUGGCGAAGGCGCCUAUCUGGCUGACAACUGACGCUGAGACUCGAAAGCAUGGGGAGCAAACAGG